GACGGAGGAUGCAAGCGUUAUCCGGAAUGAUUGGGCGUAAAGCGUCCGCAGGUGGCAGUUCAAGUCUGCUGUCAAAGACCGGGGCUUAACUUCGGAAGGGCAGUGGAAACUGAACAGCUAGAGUAUGGUAGGGGCAGAGGGAAUUCCUGGUGUAGCGGUGAAAUGCGUAGAGAUCAGGAAGAACAUCGGUGGCGAAGGCGCUCUGCUGGACCAUAACUGACACUCAGGGACGAAAGCUAGGGGAGCGAAUGGG
rnacentral:rRNA from 1 species